rnacentral:rRNA from 1 species
AGCAGCCGCGGUAAUUCCAGCUCCAAUAGCGUAUAUUAAAGUUGUUGCAGUUAAAAAGCUCGUAGUUGAAUUUCGGGGUUAGCAGGUCGGUCGUGCCAUCGGUAUGAACUGGUCUCGCUGAUGCCUCCCUCUUGACGAACUGUGAUGCCAUUAAUUUGGUGUCGCAGGGAAUCAGGACUGUUACUUUGAAAAAAUUAGAGUGUUUAAAGCAGGCUCACGCUUGAAUACAUUAGCAUGGAAUAAUGAAAUAGGACGUUUGAUCCUAUUUUGUUGGUUUCUAGGAUUGACGUAAUGAUUAAUAGGGAUAGUUGGGGGCAUUAGUAUUCAAUUGUCAGAGGUGAAAUUCUUGGAUUUAUUGAAGACUAACUACUGCGAAAGCAUUUGCCAAGGAUGUUUUCAUUAAUCAAGAACGAAAGUUAGGGGAUCGAAGACGAUCAGAUACCGUCGUAGUCUUAACCAUAAACUAUGCCGACUAGGGAUCGGAUGAUGUUAAUUUUUUCAAUGACUCAUUCGGCGCCUU